GUGCCCGGUGAUGUGUGGUGUGUGGGGCCAGGCCUUGCCGCCAGGGGCCGGUUCCCCCACCCCCUCCCCGGGGCCGGAGGGUGUCAGAUAGAUCCCUCCUACGGAUCUGAACGCGAAGCCUGCAAGUUUCAAGAAUUGUUUGGAUCCUUCUGUGCAAGAUAAAGGUGCAAAAUCAGAUACACGCCUGCUUUGGGCACCUGCAAGAUGCUGAAAGAUAGGUUGGUGUGUUUGAGAAGACUGCAAGGAGCAAGAACUCUUCUCUCACGUGAUUAUACUGGAAAAGGACUGCAUACACUGGAACGGUCGACACUGUUACAGCAAUUACUGGCAAACAAGGUGCCUGGGGUGCUUGGUCCUGUGCAUC